rnacentral:tRNA from 1 species
GAGGGCAUAGCUCAGUGGCAGAGUGUGUGCUUAGCAUGCACGAAGUCCUGGGUUCAACCCCUAGUACCUCCA